rfam:Planctomycetes bacterium GWF2_42_9 gwf2_scaffold_2897, whole genome shotgun sequence.
GGCCGGGACCCAGGCUAUCCGGGUCCGCGAACCUGGUCAGGCGGGGAACCGAGCAGCCAUAAGCGAUCAUCUGGUUGUGUCUGGCAAUCCCGGCUUUA